rnacentral:tRNA from 1 species
GGCGCUAUCGUCUAGUGGUUAGGACGCGUGGUUCUCAGCCAUGUAACCGGGGUUCGAUCCCCCGUAGCGCUACCA